rnacentral:rRNA from 1 species
UACGGGGGGGGUAAGCGUUGUUCGGAAUUACUGGGCGUAAAGGGCUCGUAGGCGGCCAACUAAGUCAGACGUGAAAUCCCUCAGCUUAACUGGGGAACUGCGUCUGAUACUGGAUGGCUUGGAUUUGGGAGAGGGAUGCGGAAUUCCCGGUGUAGCGGUGAAAUGCGUAGAUAUCGGGAGGAAUACCAGUGGCGAAGGCGGCCUUCUGGACGGAUACUGACGCUGAGGCGCGAAAGCCAGGGGAGCAAACGGG